GUGCCAGCAGCCGCGGUAAUACGUAGGGGGCGAGCGUUGUCCGGAUUCAUUGGGCGUAAAGAGCUCGUAGGCGGCUUGCUAAGUCGGGUGUGAAACCCCCAGGCUCAACCUGGGGCCGCCACCUGAUACUGGUAUGGCUGGAGUCCGGUAGGGGACCAUGGAAUUCCUGGUGUAGCGGUGAAAUGCGCAGAUAUCAGGAGGAACACCGAUGGCGAAGGCAGUGGUCUGGGCCGGUACUGACGCUGAGGAGCGAAAGCGUGGGGAGCGAACAGGAUUAGAAACCCCCGUAGUCC
rnacentral:rRNA from 1 species